UAGAGUUUGAUUAUGGCUCAGAUUGAACGCUGGCGGCAGGCCUAACACAUGCAAGUCGAACGGUAACAGGAAGCAGCUUGCUGCUUCGCUGACGAGUGGCGGACGGGUGAGUAAUGUCUGGGAAACUGCCUGAUGGAGGGGGAUAACUACUGGAAACGGUAGCUAAUACCGCAUAACGUCGCAAGACCAAAGAGGGGGACCUUAGGGCCUCUUGCCAUCGGAUGUGCCCAGAUGGGAUUAGCUAGUAGGUGGGGUAACGGCUCACCUAGGCGACGAUCCCUAGCUGGUCUGAGAGGAUGACCAGCCACACUGGAACUGAGACACGGUCCAGACUCCUACGGGAGGCAGCAGUGGGGAAUAUUGCACAAUGGGCGCAAGCCUGAUGCAGCCAUGCCGCGUGUAUGAAGAAGGCCUUCGGGUUGUAAAGUACUUUCAGCGGGGAUGAAGGGAGUAAAGUUAAUACCUUUGCUCAUUGACGUUACCCGCAGAAGAAGCACCGGCUAACUCCGUGCCAGCAGCCGCGGUAAU
rnacentral:rRNA from 1 species